AGUUUUGUUAAGUAACUCGUUAGUUUCUGGGAGAUAGCUAGCCAACACUGCAAAAAGACAGCUGCAUAAACGCCACAUGCACAGGCCAUGGUGAUAAUUUCUUAUGUAGCCAGCUAUGUUUCCAGGCUGUGAUAUCAACACCCUGUAUAAUAAUUUCGUACUGGUUAGCUAUAGCAAUAUACUAAACAGCAGUAGCUCUAGUUAACUCAGCUGUCCAAGUUACUUACGGUCCGGGGGUCAGGCCUGAAGCUAGGAGCAAAACAGAGCACAGCCGGCUUCUCCAGUCCAGCAGGUUUGACACAAACAGCCUCUGAGGCCUCAGAAACAUUACCUGUCCAGACGGUUAACCACGUCCCUGACCGUGCUGAUGAGGUGGUCGUGCUCCUGGGGGUGAGCGAGGAUGAGGCUGUGGAGCCGCUUCAUGUAGG